rnacentral:rRNA from 1 species
UGAGGAAUAUUGGUCAAUGGACGAGAGUCUGAACCAGCCAAGUAGCGUGAAGGAUGAAGGUCCUACGGAUUGUAAACUUCUUUUAUAAGGGAAUAAACCCUCCCACGUGUGGGAGCUUGUAUGUACCUUAUGGAUAAGCAUCGGCUAACUCCGUGCCAGCAGCCGCGGUAAUACGGAGGAUGCGAGCGUUAUCCGGAUUUAUUGGGUUUAAAGGGAGCGCAGACGGGUCGUUAAGUCAGCUGUGAAAGUUUGGGGCUCAACCUUAAAAUUGCAGUUGAUACUGGCGUCCUUGAGUGCGGUUGAGGUGUGCGGAAUUCGUGGUGUAGCGGUGAAAUGCUUAGAUAUCACGAAGAACUCCGAUUGCGAAGGCAGCACACUAAUCCGUAACUGACGUUCAUGCUCGAAAGUGUGGGUAUCAAACAGG